ensembl:lncRNA
CAGUGAAGAUAAUGUGCUCUUUAUUUAAAAAUAUUCUGGCAACACGAUUCAGACACAAUGGGGGCAGUCCUAUAGAUCGAUACGGGCUGCCCUGAUAACAAGGUGGCCCGUACUGGCGGACACAAACAGAACACAGAGACUAGUACAUGCUCUACGCUUUAGGGGUUCUGCAGCAUUGUGCUCUCGUCUACAGUAGGACUGUACAUUGAACGCCACGGGUUGUUGAUGUCUUUUGUCUGUUUGCACAUGUUUCCGUCCUUCGAUCCGUGAUUGGCCAGGUUUAAACAAGGACGCCGUGAGGGGUGUGUGUGUUGCUGUGUUUGUGUGGUGGGGUGUUUGGGUGGUGGGGUGUUUGGGGGGGUGUUCGGACUCAAACACAGGUGAUUCACCAGGGUGGUGAGAUGCAGUGGCAGUCCCCCCCCCCCCAAAACCGGUGGGACAAAUCGAUGACUAAUUAUAUUCCCACCCUCUCAAACACACACACACGCGCGCACACACGCCCCUCAACCUCAAGCAGAGGAGACCGAGGACGUCGUGCUGACUCACUCGCUCUCUGAUCACAGUCUCCAGGCGGAAAUUCUUUUUGGACUGUGAACACACACACACACGUCACUCGUGUUCACACUGACACGCUCGCCCCGCUGACGCACACACCCCUAUGUGUGUGUGUGUGUGUGUGUGUGUGUGUGUGUGUGUGUGUGUGUGUGUGUGUGUCUUCUGUUUAUUAGUUUUGCUCGGGUGUGACCACAGCCUCACUUCCUUUACGUUUGACCUUCGCUUUUCAUUCAUGACGCUGAUACAGUGUCAUGUGAACUGCUGAAACCAACGCCAUCUCUCUCUCUCUCUCUCUCUCUCUCUCUCUCUCUCUCUCUCUCUCUCUCUCUCUCUCUCUCUCUCUCUCUCUCUCUCUCUCUCUCUCUCUCUCUCUCUUAAAAACCUGUUUGCCCCGAGGCGUCCCAUCCCAGCGUCCGUGUGCUUCGAUGUGUGUUCUCCCAACACUGGGGGCGCCUUGCCCCAUCGCCCACGCAUGAAUGUACACGUUUACACAACGACACAUGCAACAAUUGGAAGGGAGAACUUGUUGUGCAUUCAUCGAUCGUAGCGCCGACCAGGAGCCACGGAGGGGGGAGGCUACUGGAGCAGGGAGGCGUGGGUGACCAUGUGCUUAUCGUUCACUAGCAUGUGUGUGUGUUUGUGUUAAAGUACAGUGCCUGUGUUGGUUCUCUAACAUACGGUCGUUUAUAUACAGCAGUGCUUGGUCGUGAAGAGGGGCUCCGGCGGGUCUCAGGGGGUGUAAGGCAUGACUGUGGUGGUUGGAGAUGUGCUGCCAGGGGUACUGGGAGGCAGAUGGGGCAACAGGAAGGAGGUGGCGGUGGUGGGGGGCGGCGGUGAUGUCGUCGAGACAGCAACGCUCUGCAGCAGUCUCAUUUGGUUGGUGGUGGUCGUGGUGGUUGUUGUUGUUGUUGAUGCUUCAUCUUUGAGUCAAUGAUUGUUUACAUGGCCUUCUGUUGGCCUUCUCUCUCUCUCUCUCUCUCUCUCUCUCUCUCUCCCUCCUCUCUCGUCCCAAAUUCACACCACUUUUCUAUCUUUCUCUCCCCAUCCCCCUCGUUCUCUCACCCCACUCUCCCUCAUCCAGCAGCUCUUAGUCUUUCUCUCACCCCACUCUCUCAGUCUGUCUCCCUAUCUCACCUCCUCUCUCUCUCACCCCUCCUCUCCCUCUCCAUCAUCCCC